UAGACCAGUGAGCAUAGCUACAUCGGCAAGAGUGGGAGAAACAGGGCCGUAGCCAAAGACGAAGGCAUUAAGGGUAUCUGACCAAAAAUAAGACGCAGCUAUCAACAGUGACUCGUUCUUGUGCAUAUCGGCAAUAGAUAGCCUGAUGCAUUGGGCUAGCUUCCUUUCACCCCACUGGACUUCAUUUGAAUUGCUGACUCUCAAGAACCAGUCUUUCCACCCUACAGUAGGGCUGGGCCAAGAGCGAAAGGUGUCUUUCCACAGAUCUAAAGAAAAAUUUUCGGCUCUAAAGGGAAUCCUGUUGGUUUCUGCAUUGAUAAGGUCAGUUGGAUCUGGAUCCCCUAGAGGGCCGAGACAUUGGAGGUGUGGUUGAUCGGUGGGGAUGACAAUUUUGUUGGACAACUCCUAGUGUUUUGGGGAAUAAAAAAAAUACAAAGAAAAAGGAAAAGGGAGAUAUUCAGUAAGAUGAAUCGCGGAUGAACAGGAAUACGAGAAGAAUACAGGAGAUGAGAUGGAGAUCUGACCUCAGGGACGACGAAGCCAAUGGCCAUCUUGUCGUGAAGAGAACGUUUGAGGGCACC
rnacentral:lncRNA from 1 species